UAUUGAUGGAAUGCGAUUUAUAAGAAAUUAAAACAAGAAAAAAUAAUCUUACAAUUGAUAAUAGAAAAUAUGGAAGAAGCUGGUGAAGUGCAAGCAGAGAUUUAUAAACCAAUCCUAAGACCACCAUCUGGGCUUCUCAUAGUAAACAAAUAGGUAGGAUAGCA